GAAGUGCUGAAAAUGCCAGCAGAGGAAAUGAAGAACAAAAUGAACUCUCUUGCUUCUUCUUUUAAGUGAGAAAAGAGUUCAGAAUGUGCAACUGCAAGAAUGGGUGCAGUGGAAGUGUAUAAUUUCAUGUGGUUUGCAUUCAAACUGCUGUCAACCCUCCUCGAUAAUUUCCAUGUGAGGAAAAGCUGAUGUUUAAAGCAACUUGUCCCCGAGGGAAAGCAAACACCUAUAGCAAAGAAGACUGUUCCUAGAAACUCUUGGUGAGCAGCUAAUUGAUCAGGAAAUGAAGAUGUGAGGAUAUCUUCCAAGAGGAAAUGCUGUGAGAGAAGCUGUAGAGAGAACAACAUUGUGUGAAUCUGCACCCUCCGUGCAGGAAGAAACUGAUUCUAGGAGCAAGAAGAGAUGCUGUUGUCACCUUUGUGGAAAAAAAUUAUGAUAAAAGUUCAGUGAAGUGUGCUAACUGUAAAAAAAUUCACUUGUAGGAAAUGUCUUACAUAAACAUGUAAAAACUUUGUAAAAGUUAGGUAUAGAGUAGUAAAAUCAACACACACAUCAUUUUAAUAUUUCAUUAUUGUAUUGUUGUACUAUUAUAUUAUGCAGUUCAUACAUUAAUCUAUCUAAAUUA